GCUCUAUCCACUGAGCCAAACCGGUCUCGGCUCACGUCAGUAUUUUUUCACAUCAGGCUAACCCCACUUCCAAGGCAGCCUCUUCCACACCGGAGGGGGAUACUUACAGAGGUUCAGACUCCCAGGAACAUCUACACGGUUGUGCUGAGCAAAGGUGCUAAGUGAUCACAUAGCCAACUGGGCCCAAAUGAAGAGGGUGUCUUCCUUGGAGCAGUCAGGAAAGAGGACAACUGCCCAAACCCCUGGCACAUCCCUGCUGGCAAAGGGGCACUGCUGUGCUGAUGGUGGUCAUCGGGCAGCGGUAAAGGAAUCCUGACCUUAGUCUUGGCAUUUGGCUGGCUUUUGGCCUGGGGCCACAUGGACCAGACUGUUGGAAGGUUCAGUGUCACUUCUGUUCAUGCAAGAUCUACUCCCUGGGUAUCCUAAGAACACGGUGCCCACAAGUUCAAGAAGAAAACCAGAGGGAAAAGCAUUAAUUGUACUAAGACAUUUAUUACAUCAUAAAAAGUUCACUGUUGUCCUGUUUUUCCAUAUGUACAUGUUUCUGUGGGCAAUCCCCCCUGUCCAGCCCCAUCUAUCCACCCUUAAUGCCAAUCAGCUCUUCAAACUGACCAACAAAUUAGUAAAAGAGCAAGAACUGGAGGUGGCGGCCCAGAGCUGAUGGGAGUGGGGAUGGGAGAGGGAAACAAAGUGCAGAGUGGUUGGCUUGGCUCUCAAUGCCUAACCAUGGGCAGGAGGGACACAAGGGCAGGCACUGCAGGGCUGGCACAGUGAUGCCUCCCCAGAGCUAUCAGGCGGCAGGUGAUACCUGAGUGUGCUCUCAGGUUGGACCCCCAAGAAUGGAGAGCAGAGGAGGAAGGUCCUGCAGCCUGACUGUGGGUCCCAGGAAGGGCUA